rnacentral:rRNA from 1 species
UACGGGGGGAGCAAGCGUUGUUCGGAUUUACUGGGCGUAAAGGGCGCGUAGGCGGCCAGCACAAGUCAGUUGUGAAAUCUCCGGGCUUAACUCGGAAAGGUCAACUGAUACUGUGCGGACUAGAGUGCAGAAGGGGCAACUGGAAUUCUCGGUGUAGCGGUAAAAUGCGUAGAUAUCGAGAGGAACACCUGCGGCGAAGGCGGGUUGCUGGGCUGACACUGACGCUGAUGCGCGAAAGCCAGGGGAGCGAACGGG